rnacentral:rRNA from 1 species
AUGCAGCAUCGUCCUUUGUCUCAAACGCCAUAUGCAGUACUGAAGGCGGACAAGCAAUGUGAGGGUCAGAAUCAACAUCAUCCGGCAAAUAUCACUAAUAGAGCUGACAAAGCCAACACUCAAGUCAGUGUUGAGGGUGAUUUAGGUGCAAAGUUUCGCGUCUCUCUGGAUGAGUGGCUGCAGCCGCUCCCUUCCUGCCAAGAGUUAGAGGUAGAAAUGCACUACCUUUUGUUAGUGCAUGAUUUUGCUUCUUUGUGUUCUUUUGAUCUUCUUUUUUCAUUUUUAUUUAUGCUUACCCCCAUUUGUUUGUUUCUUAUUUUCUGUGCCAGAUACCUUUGCACUUGA